rnacentral:rRNA from 1 species
GAUGAACGCUAGCGGCAGGCCUAACACAUGCAAGUCGAGGGGCAGCAUGGCGUAGCGAUACGCUGAUGGCGACCGGCGCACGGGUGCGUAACGCGUAUGCAACCUGUCCGGCGCAGGGGGUAGCCCGUCGAAAGGCGGGGUAAUCCCGCAUGAACCGGUAUUCCCGCAUGGGGGUGCCGGCAAAGUGGAGACGCGGGGCCGGAGGGGCAUGCGUGCCAUUAGCUGGCUGGAGGGGUAACGGCCCACCAGGGCGAUGAUGGCUAGGGGGUCUGAGAGGAUGGUCCCCCACACUGGUACUGAGACACGGCCCAGACUCCUACGGGAGGCAGCAGUUGGGAAUCUUCGGCAAUGGGCGCAAGCCUGACCGAGCAACGCCGCGUGAGUGAUGAAGGUUUUCGGAUUGUAAAGCUCUGUCUUCCGGGACGAUAAUGACGGUACCGGAGGAGGAAGCCACGGCUAACUACGUG